rnacentral:rRNA from 1 species
AGUGAACGCUGGCGGUAGGCCUAACACAUGCAAGUCGAACGGCAGCACAGUAAGAGCUUGCUCUUACGGGUGGCGAGUGGCGGACGGGUGAGGAAUACAUCGGAAUCUACUUUUUCGUGGGGGAUAACGUAGGGAAACUUACGCUAAUACCGCAUACGACCUACGGUUGAAAGCAGGGGAUCUUCGGACCUUGCGCGAUUGAAUGAGCCGAUGUCGGAUUAGCUAGUUGGCGGGGUAAAGGCCCACCAAGGCGACGAUCCGUAGCUGGUCGGAGAGGAUGAUCAGCCACACUGGAACUGAGACACGGUCCAGACUCCUACGGGAGGCAGCAGUGGGGAAUAUUGGACAAUGGGCGCAAGCCUGAUCCAGCCAUACCGCGUGGGUGAAGAAGGCCUUCGGGUUGUAAAGCCCUUUUGUUGGGAAAGAAAAGCAGCAGGUUAAUACCCCGCUGUUCUGACGGUACCCGAAGAAUAAGCACCGGCUAACUUCGUG